rnacentral:rRNA from 1 species
CCGCGUGAGGGAUGAGGCCUUCGGGUUGUAAACCUCUUUUCUUGGGGAAGAAUUUUGACGGUACCCAAGGAAUAAGCCUCGGCCAACUACGUGCCAGCAGCCGCGGUAAUACGUAGGAGGCGAACGUUAUUCGGAUUUACUGGGCGUAAAGGGAGCGUAGGCGGUUCCUCAAGUCAGAUGUGAAAUCUUCUGACUCAAUCAGAAGGGGCCAUUUGAUACUGAGGGACUUGAGAGCAGCAGAGGGAAAUGGAAUCUCCAGUGUAGCGGUGAAAUGCGUAGAUAUUGGGGAGAACACCAGUGGCGAAGGCGAUUUCCCAGGUUGUUUCUGACGCUGAGGCUCGAAAGCGUGGGGAGCGAAGCGGAUUAGAUACCCGCGUAGUCCACGCCCUAAACGGUGGACACUAGAUAUAGGAGGUAUGGACCCUUUCUGUGUCGAAGCUAACGCUUUAA